GCUGGGUGUCGUGGUGCAUACCUGUGGUCCCAGCUACUUCGGAUGCUGAGGUUGGAGGAUUGCUUGAGCCCAGGAGGUCCAGGCUGCAGUGAGCCAUGAUCAUGCCACUGUACUCCAGCCUGGGCAACAGAGCAAGACCCAAGCUUAU
ensembl:misc_RNA Metazoa_SRP Metazoan signal recognition particle RNA